rnacentral:rRNA from 1 species
AUUGAACGCUGGCGGCAUGCCUUACACAUGCAAGUCGAACGGCAGCACGGGAGCUUGCUCCUGGUGGCGAGUGGCGAACGGGUGAGUAAUACAUCGGAACGUACCCUGAAGUGGGGGAUAACGUAGCGAAAGUUACGCUAAUACCGCAUAUUCUGUGAGCAGGAAAGAGGGGGAUCGCAAGACCUCUUGCUUUAGGAGCGGCCGAUGUCGGAUUAGCUAGUUGGUGAGGUAAAGGCGUCACCAAGGCGACGAUCCGUAGCGGGUCUGAGAGGAUGAUCCGCCACACUGGGACUGAGACACGGCCCAGACUCCUACGGAGGCAGCAGUGGGAAUUUGGACAAUGGGCGCAAGCCUGAUCCAGCCAUGCCGCGUG